rnacentral:rRNA from 1 species
CCUACGGGAGGCAGCAGUGGGGAAUUUUGGACAAUGGGCGCAAGCCUGAUCCAGCCAUGCCGCGUGAGUGAAGAAGGCCUUCGGGUUGUAAAGCUCUUUCGGCGGGGAAGAAAAGGUUCGUGCUAAUACCACGAACUAAUGACGGUACCCGAAGAAGAAGCACCGGCUAACUACGUGCCAGCAGCCGCGGUAAUACGUAGGGUGCAGGCGUUAAUCGGAAUUACUGGGCGUAAAGCGUGCGCAGGCGGUUUGUUAAGACAGAUGUGAAAUCCCCGGGCUUAACCUGGGAACUGCGUUUGUAACUGGCAAGCUAGAGUGUGGCAGAGGGGGGUGGAAUUCCAAGUGUAGCAGUGAAAUGCGUAGAUAUUUGGAGGAACACCGAUGGCGAAGGCAGCCCCCUGGGCUAACACUGACGCUCAUGCACGAAAGCGUGGGGAGCAAACAGGAUUAGAUACCCUGGUAGUCCACGCCCUAAACUAUGUCAACUGGUUGUCGGGAAGCAAUUCCUUGGUAACGAAGCUAACGCGUGAAGUUGACCGCCUGGGGAUACGGCCGCAAGGUUAAACUUAAAGGAAUUGACGG